GGCCAUGGCCAAUAGCAGGGGCUGCCCCCCGCUCCGCACACAGGACUCACACAGAAACUCAGGGCAUCCCCGGACCGUGCCACCCCCCCCCCACUAGGCUCAGGCUGAUGAUAAGGUGGGGUCCGCACAGCCCCAAGCGUGGAUUCUCCUUGACCUUGGGAAGCACUGAAUCCACCCCGACCUACACUGAGGUCAUCAGCCUGGCCCUGAGCAACAUGAAGGAGCGCAGGGACCAGCUCGAGCAGCUGAACCGGCUCCACUGCAGCGAGUGGGAUUAUUUUGACAGUCACCUAAAGGAGCUGCACCACCACUUCCUGAGGGAAGUGAAGAACACUGAGAAGAGACCAGCAGAUGAAAGACAGGCCAGUCACACAUUCAUCCUGCCCUCAUCCUCCUACUGCACCGAGGAGCUGCUCCAAAAGGAACAAAGAGGAAACAGUGACAGAGAAACUGCCUUUCUCCUAAGACAGAAAGAGACUACCAAGAAGUCAAAAGCUCUGCAAAAAAAGGAGCCACUCAUCCUCAGCCUCUCACUGUCUCCCUUGCAUGAAUGAAUCUUGUCCAAGUACUGGGAGGAAGCUUGCACGUUGUUGGAGUUCUCCUAAAACAGAAACAACCAAACAAUUAAAAACACUGCAAGCAGGGAUUUCCUGUCCAUGGGACAGAGAAUAUUAAAGUUCAUUUCCACCGUGGGCCACAGACAGGAUUUAACUGAAGUGAAUUCACCUGGUUAUUCUUUCAUUCACUCCCUGUGAAUCAUGAUGUGAUAGCCAACCUGACUCCAUUUUGUGCCUCAUCACUGUUCCUCCUCCCCACUUGGGAGUCCCCUUGGUUGAUGCAUAGCAGACCGCCACAUCCCAUUUGGUAGAACAGUCUGCGUCUAUGUGUUCUUAUGAACAGGGCACCUGUGUGAUAUUUUGUUUCAACUAAACUGUGUGAAACUUCCCCUGACCCCUACUAACUUAGCAAAGUUCUGCUUCUGUAAAAUUCCACUUACUCUCCCACUCUCCCUGAGCCCUCCCAAUUAGAAGAGCCACUUAAAAGAAACUCACAAGCCACUUUUCGGGGUCAAGAGAUUCUGAGUGCUCUGAAUUGCUGGCAAUAAAGGACUCAAAUUUGGCUCAGAGUGUUAGUAAUUCUCUAUAAUCUCUCUCGACUGAGUAUAACAAUGACACUGUAAUAUACACACACACACACACACACACACACACACGUGUGUGUGUGUGUG
rnacentral:lncRNA from 1 species